rnacentral:rRNA from 1 species
GAUGAACGCUGGCGGCGUGCCUAAUACAUGCAAGUCGAGCGAACGGACGAGAAGCUUGCUUCUUUGAUGUUAGCGGCGGACGGGUGAGUAACACGUGGAUAACCUACUUAUAAGACUGGGAUAACUUCGGGAAACCGGAGCUAAUACCGGAUGAUAUUUUGAACCGCAUGGUUCAAAAGUGAAAGACGGUCUUGCUGUCACUUAUAGAUGGUUCCGCGCUGCAUUAGCUAGUUGGUAAGGUAACGGCUUACCAAGGCAACGAUGCAUAGCCGACCUGAGAGGGUGGUCGGCCACACGGGAACUGAGACGCGGUCCAGACUCCUACGGGAGGCAGCAGUAGGGAAUCUUCCGCAAUGGGCGAAAGCCUGACGGAGCAACGCCGCGUGAGUGAUGAAGGUCUUCGGAUCGUAAAACUCUGUUAUUAGGGAAGAACAUAUGUGUAAGUAACUGUGCACAUCUUGACGGUACCUAAUCAGAAAGCCACGGCUAACUACGUG